GCAGUCGUGGCCGAGUGGUUAAGGCGAUGGUCUUGAAAAUCGUUGGGGUGUCCCGACGCGAGUUCGGAUCCCGCCGACUGCG